UGGAGAUGAACAGAUGAAUAAUCCAUGGAUUUUGUUUGCUAGAGAAUAAAACAGUCUCUGCUAUGUCACUGUUGUAAUGUUAGACGCUGUUGGAGAGGGGAAAGAAACAUUAGUGACCAUGUUAUAAUGAGGAGUCAUCAAUUUCAAUAUUCUGCAAAGCAAGCCCUCAGCCCUCCAGGGUGAAGUUGGUGUCCCGGGGAUGGAUUUAUUACGCAGGCGUCAGGCACACAGACGCUGCGGAAAGAUAUAUAGGUAUACGGUCAUCUGUGCCAUCACUGGCUUCACCUGCUGAGCAGAGGGGAAAGAAAGUAUUUUCCAAUGAGAAGAAAGAACCCAAAAUGUGAUCUUCAGUCACAACCAGUAUCCAGUCCUUCUACCUACAAGUUUUAAAACUUUAGCGACUUGUCUCAUGGAGAAUCAGAAACCUGGCUUCAAGGGAUCAAGGUCAAGGAUUGGCUCCCCAUUUAAGUCCGUUGGACUGGAUUAUUCCGUAGCUACAUUCUGUAGCCUCUAAAAGUUUUUUUAAUGAAUAGGUCAGUAUUCCACAUUAACAGGGAGGGGCAUGCAAAGUGUGGGCUGUGCUCUUAUAUCUGCACAUCAAUCAGGUAUUUAUUGGAUACCCAUGCCUUCUGUGUGCUCACCUCUCACUAGAACAUGGACUCUCUAAGGGCAAGGACGGUGUCUUAUUUGUCUGUGGGAGCUCAGUCCCCAGCACUGAGCUGGUAGGUUUCAGUAAAAGUUUGAAUGAUUGAGAGAGCGAAUCCCUCGCAUGAGAAGAACAUUGAAGAAAUUCAUAGCACAUGCGCUGUCCACUGUGAGCCGGUGAAGGCAAUGCACUGCUGGCUACCAUAGCUUUGCAAACUUGAUCUGGGCUGAUGGGCCAGUGGGACAGGAUUCCUCGCCCCCCACUUUCUGGAGUGUGCUUGAACGAGACAAUCACACUUGGCAGGGAGAUUGCACUCAGCCUCGGGGCAGAGGUCCCGAAGAUCCGCUCCCUGAGGGAGACUGAGUCGUUGACUCCACCUGGUGGCGUCUGCAGAGUACUCACCUACCUGAUGCGAAGCAGGGAGGAGCCGGCAGCCCAGCGCCGGCCAUUCAGGUGCGGACCCCGUGAGCAGGAAGACUCCCAAGGAGGGAGGGGCUGGGGCUUGAAUGAGCCCCAGAGAGCAUCCGUGGGCUCCAAAAGCUGGGCUCCGAACCUCCCAGGCACGGUGGGCUCUGCUCCCCUGACCCCACCCCAGCAUCCCUAGGCAGAUGGCCUUACUACUCCCUGAAACAGGAUAAUAAAGUGUUCUGGGAAAAUGCUGUCUGAAUGCCCCUGGAUGGUCCGACUGUGGAACAGACAGCUGUGAGGUUGGCUUGUGAACCGCCCCCCGUGUUCCCAGUGAGUAAUCUGAGGUUCAGAGGAAGCUGUCGAGGGAGACAUGUCACCCAGAUCUCCCACCUCCCAGCCAACCUCUCAUCUGUGCUACACGCACGCUGCCUCUUACCUUCCAUGUACACGGGGCUCGGCCAUUACGGAGCCCAGUCAUAUGUGACCUAGAACCUAACGGGCUGUCCAGUGAAUACAGCAGAGUGCCCUUGUCCAUGACACAGGUGAGAAGGCAGACAGGUGAGGUCAGUAGCGAGUGAACGGCGGAGUGGCCCUAGCCCAAGGCCAGCGCGCUCUGUGCCCUCCACGGGGGCUGAGCUCCCAGAAUCCAGCGGUUCCUGCUGUUCUAUGUCUUUGCAACCCCAGUGUUUGAUUUGAGGAAUGACACCACGUGUGACUGGUACAGCUCGCUCCAUCUAGCAGACCAUGAAGGGGUGCUUAUUUCUGUCCACUUCGUGGUUUGACAGCCCAUCUAGACUGAUGGGAAAAAAGAAAAAGAAGAGACCUGAAGGUUUAUUUGAGGCAUUUCUAGAGCAAGCAAAACACUUCCCACAUCUCUGUAGGCCUGACGACAUGGGAAUUGAGAAGCCACAGCACCGAAUGCGCAACGGAUGUUCCAAAGGAAACGCAGGUUGUUCUUUUUCGAAAUCUGGCUUUGGAGAUGGUGUGUCUUUUCUUUCUUGAGGUGGUGUUGGACUGUUCAUUCAAUAUGGGUAUGUGGGACUUCAUUAGGAGAGAAGCCAAUUCCAAAUGCAUAGACUGAAUGAGCUGAAACCAAAAAGUGUAAGGGAAAGAAGAGGAAGUGGGGAACUUCCUUACUGGGGGUGGGGAGAUGAAAUGUCUUGAUGAAGCCACAGAACAAUAUAUGAGACAAAGAAAUGAUAGGGACAAACGUAUAUACUUCACGAGAAGUGGAGCUGUCGUGAAAAGACAGUUUGAUCUCUGAUCAUUUGACCCCAAAGGGAAGAGGACUCUGUGUAGCAUUUCGUAAACAUCCUGUUAUCAGAGAGGAUUACUCGAACCCAUGUCAUUUCCCAAGACUGGGUUAACCUAAAAUGAAGCAACAGAAUUGCUGUUGCUUUUGACUGGAAUUAAGAAAACUCAGGAAACACACAACCCUAUAAAAAUAUUUUUUAAAGAGCAAGAGUCACCAAAUAUCCUUCAACAAGAAGUCCAGAACAAGUCACAAUGGAUGUUUGCUACGACUGGGAACGCACAGGAUGAUCGGUCUAGGCUUUUACAUAUACGUCCACAAACAUAAACACACAUACACAUACGUAUACAUAUGUGUGCACACGUAUAUGUUCACACUGACAUGGGCUGGAUCAAGUCCCUCCCAAAUUGCUGACCCUUAGUAGCUCAGGAUGUGACUGUACUUGGAGAUGCAGCCUUUAAAAAAGCAGUUAAGUUAAAAUGAGGCUGUUAGCAUGGUCCCUAAUCCAGUGUGACUGGUGUUCUCAGAAGAGGAAAUUUGGACACUUAAAGAGACUCCGGGGAUGCACAUGUGUGCUCAUCUAGGGAAGACCAUGUGAGGGAGGACCCAGCGAGAAGGCGGCUGUCUGCAAGUCCAGGAGAGGCCUCAGAGUGAAACCAACCCUGCCCACACCUUGACCUUGGACUUCUGACCCCCAGAAUUGUGAGAAAAUAAGUCUGUGGUUUAAGCCACCCAGUCUGUGGAAUUUUGCUUUGGCCGCCCCAGCAGAUUAAUACACACAUUAUUUUACAUUACGUGUAUGAUUGCAAGUUUUUUUAAAAUUUUAAGUUAGUCUUUUCCUUACUCUCCUUAUGCUUGGCUCCCUCUCUCUGCUUCUGGCUCCACCCAAGGUCACCGUGUACAACGUACCUCGUGGGAGUUCUUAUUUCUCUCUGUACUCGCGUAGUCAAAGAGAGACACACACAUGUACAGAGGUGAGGGGCUGUCAUUGCUCUACACAAUUAGGAUCAUAUUUCACGGGUUUUCAACAUCUUGCUUUGCAUUACUCGUGAAAACUUACGGAAAAGUUGCAAGUACGAUACAAAAUACCUGUUCGUUAUAUAUAUAUUUUGAACCUUUGAUCCAUUUGAGACAAAGUUGCCAACAUGAUGCGCCGUCGGCUCUGAACACUUUAGAGUGUGCUUCCUUGUCUUCUUUGGCAGGAAUAGUACAGAAAUGACGGGCUCUUCCCGUGGGGCCUGUCGGUGGUGCCCAGGUUCUACUCAUCAUUGCUGAUGACACACAGUUUGAUGGCUGGUUAAGUGGCGCUGCCAGUGUCUGUUUUAGCACGGUCACUCUUUUUCUCUUUGUAGUUAAUAAAUAGUUGACAUUAUGUAAAUAUCUUGUUCUUCAUCAAACUUUCAAUUCACUCAUUUAUUUAUAUCAGACGGACUCAUAGAUUCCUGUUGUAUGUAAUGGGUUAUAAUUUGUUAACUCUCAUGAUUUACUUUGAGGUCCAUGUCUGUGUCCUUUGGACAUGUCCCCCUCAUUAUUUGAACACUUUCUUGCUUUCUGAUACCAGAUGUUACAGGCUCACCUGUGCUUUCCCUGCCCCAGCACUGGAAUUGGCCAUUUCUCUAAGGAGCUUCUCUUCCUUUUGCAGAGAAUGAUAUUUAAAAGCCAAGAUUCGGGCAUCCGAUGCACUCAUCGCUCUGGGGGACGGCAAGGGCAGGGGGUGGCUGGCCCCAGUCAACAGAGUUACAGACUCUACAGACAUAUACACACACUCAUACCCACACCCACACACGCACACACAUGUAUAGCUACACCUAGGUAUAUGUAUUCACACACAUAUGGAUAUAUGUGUACCCAUGCGUCUAUACAUACGCACACCUGAAUCUAUACUUAUUAUGUAUAUCGACAACCAUGAAUUCACACUGGUACCUCCCCCUCCCAUCUAACACCAAAGAGUUUAUCCAAGUUCCGAGUUGUCCUUAGCUGUACCUCCCACCUCUGACAGUGAGGCGUCUGGGCUGUUCCCCCAGGCAGAAUCCCCCUCAGCCCUCCUGGACUUCUCGCCUCACCCUGCCAGGGCUCUGAGCCCCAGCCCAGGCCCCCAUAGGACCCUCCUCUCUGCUGGGCCUCUGAUACCCCUCGCCGGGCAGCCCCUCUGAGCAGAUGCUCUCCUCACUCACCCAGGCCCUGACACUCCCCCUGGGCCAGCCUCCCUCUAGGCUCCCCCUCCACGCCCUGCUCAGAAUCUGACUUGUCCUGCAAGCUGCCCUCUCACCCCGACUGGCCCCAGCAGCCCGGGUGUGGCUGCACGCCCUGUGCACACAACGCGGAUGAGUUCUUCUGGAAAGGAAGAGAAGGGCGAGGGAAGGGAGGGCCACGUCUGCUACCCUCACCGGGCAGGAUCCCGGGCAAAUCACUCCAUGUCACUUCAUGGAGGUGGGCGUUCCCCCUUGCACGGCACGGGUGUGUCAUAACAGCCCACGUGCC